GAUGAAGAACGUAGCGAAAUGCGAUAAGUAAUGUGAAUUGCAGAAUUCAGUGAAUCAUCGAAUCUUUGAACGCACAUUGCGCCCCUUGGUAUUCCGAGGGGCAUGCCUUUUCGAGCGUCAUUAUAACCCCUCAAGCUCAGCUUGGUGUUGGGGCCUGCUGCACUGGCAGCCCUUAAAAUCAGUGGCGGCGCCAUCUGGCUCUAAGCGUAGUAAUUCUUCUCGCUAUGGAGUCCUGGUGGAUGCUUGCCAUCAACCCCCAAUUUUUCUAUGGUUGACCUCGGAUCAGGUAGGGAUACCCGCUGAACUUAAGCAUAUCAAUAAGCGGAGGA
rnacentral:misc_RNA from 1 species